AAUAAAUGGAAAGAUGAAAUAGGAUUAAGAAUUGUAAAAAAUUAUAUUAUUUAUGAUGAAGAUUUGAAUCUAUUUAAUUGUUUAGAAAUAUACCAACAAAUUUUUAAAAGUACCAUAGAAAAUAUAUUUUCGGACAAUUUGCAAUUAUUUGAGUUAUCUAGAGAUAUAUUAAAUUUUUUUUGGUUUUCACAAAAUGAUGAAUUAAAAAAAAAUCAUUUGAAAUCUCACUUAACCAUUUAACAGCUUUAUACUCAUCAAAUAAACACAUAAUGAGUGUUAAAACAAAACAAUAUAUUGAUAAAAUGAAAAGGGAUGGGUUAUUUAAAAGUUUCAUUAAUUAAAAAAAAAAAAAAUAAAUUUAAUUUG